CGGGCGCGGCGAACGGUCUAAGUCCCUUGGAACGGGGCGUCAAAGAGGGUGAGAAUCCCGUAUGGGAUCGGCGACCAAGCCCAUGUGAAACUCCUUCGACGAGUCGAGUUGUUUGGGAAUGCAGCUCAAAAUGGGUGGUAAAUUUCAUCUAAAGCUAAAUACCGGCCAGAGACCGAUAGCGCACAAGUAGAGUGAUCGAAAGAUGAAAAGCACUUUGGAAAGAGAGUCAAAAAGUACGUGAAAUUGUUGAAAGGGAAGCGCUUGCAACCAGACCUGCCCGCGGGCGAUCAACCGUCCCUCCGGGGGCGGUGUACUCGACCGCGAUCAGGCCAGCAUCGGUUCGGGCGGCCGGAUAAAGGCCUCGGGAACGUGGCUCCUUUCGGGGAGUGUUAUAGCCCUUGGCGCAAUGCGGCCUGCUUGGACCGAGGACCGCGCUUCGGCUAGGAUGCUGGCGUAAUGGUUGUAAGCGGCCCGUCUUGAAACACGGACCAAGGAGUCUAACAUCUAUGCGAGUGUUUGGGUGUCAAACCCAUGCGCGUAAUGAAAGUGAACGGAGGUGGGAACCCGUUAGGGCGCACCAUCGACCGAUCCAGAUGUCUUCGGAUGGAUUUGAGUACGAGCAUAGCUGUUGGGACCCGAAAGAUGGUGAACUAUGCCAGAAUAGGGUGAAGCCAGAGGAAACUCUGGUGGAGGCUCGCAGCGGUUCUGACGUGCAAAUCGAUCGUCAAAUUUUGGCAUAGGGGCGAAAGACUAAUCGAACCAUU
rnacentral:rRNA from 1 species